rnacentral:rRNA from 1 species
GAUGAACGCUGGCGGCGUGCCUAAUACAUGCAAGUCGAGCGAACAGAUAAGGAGCUUGCUCCUUUGACGUUAGCGGCGGACGGGUGAGUAACACGUGGGUAACCUACCUAUAAGACUGGGAUAACUUCGGGAAACCGGAGCUAAUACCGGAUAAUAUUUCGAACCGCAUGGUUCGAUAGUGAAAGAUGGUUUUGCUAUCACUUAUAGAUGGACCCGCGCCGUAUUAGCUAGUUGGUAGGGUAACGGCUUACCAAGGCGACGAUACGUAGCCGACCUGAGGGGGGGUAGGGCCACCCGGGACCUGAGACACGGUCCAGACUCCGAGGGAAGGCAGCGAUGGGAAAUCUUCGGAAAUGGGGGAAAGCCUGAGGGAGCAACGCCGCGGGGGUGAUGAAGGUCUGCGGGUCGUAAACUCUGUUAUUAGGGAAGAACAUACGUGUAAGUAACUGUGCACGUCUUGACGGUACCUAAUCAGAAAGCCACGGCUAACUACGUG